UAAGACGUAGGGGGCCAGCGUUGUUCGGAAUUACUGGGUGUAAAGGGUUCGUAGGCGGUGUGGCAAGUCGGGAGUGAAAUCUCUGGGCUCAACUCAGAGGCUGCUUCCGAAACUGCUGUGCUGGAGUGUGGGAGAGGCGCGUGGAAUUGCAGGUGUAGCGGUGAAAUGCGUAGAUAUCUGCAGGAACACCCGUGGCGAAAGCGGCGCGCUGGACCACUACUGACGCUGAGGAACGAAAGCUAGGGGAGCAAACAGGAUUAGAUACCCUGGUAGUCCUAGCCCUAAACGAUCAGGACUUGGGGUGCCGCCCGUUCGGGUGUCGUCCCGGAGCUAACGCGUUAAGUCCUGCACCUGGGGAGUACGGUCGCAAGACUGAAACUCAAAGGAAUUGACGGGGGCCCGCACAAGCGGUGGAACAUGUGGUUCAAUUCGACGCUACGCGAGGAACCUUACCUGGGCUCGAAAUGCUUCUGACCAGCUGUGGAAACACGGCCUUCCCGCAAGGGACAGGAGUAUAGGCGCUGCAUGGCUGUCGUCAGCCCGUGCCGUGAGGUGUUGGGUUAAGUCCCGCAACGAGCGCAACCCCUGCACGUAGUUGCCACCCGCAAGGGGGAACUCUACGUGGACUGCUCCGGAUAACGGAGAGGAAGGUGGGGAUGACGUCCAGUCCGCAUGGCCUUUAUGUCCAGGGCUACACACCUGUUACAAUGCAGGGCACAAACCGUUGCCAACCCGCCAGGGGGAGCUAAUCGGAAAAAACUCUGCUCAGUUCGGAUUGCAGUCUGCAACUCGACUGCAUGAAGCCGGAAUCGCUAGUAAUGGCGUAUCAGAUCGACGCCGUGAAUACGUUCCCGGGCCUUGUACACACCGCCCGUCACAUCACGAAAGUGAGCUGUACUAGAAGUCGCCGAGCUAACCGCAAGGAGGCAGGCGCCCAAGGUAUGACUCACGAUUGGGGUG
rnacentral:rRNA from 1 species